GAUGAACGCUGGCGGCGUGCCUCAAACAUGCAAGUCGAGCGGGGCUAUGUAAUAUCGCAAGGUAGAACAUAGCCUAGCGGCGAACGGGUGAGUAACACGUGGGUAACCUGCCUGGAAGACAGGGAUAACGAUUCGAAAGGGUCGCUAAUACCUGAUAAUAUCCUUUCAUCGCAUGGUGAUAGGAAGAAAGGGGAAACCCGCUUUUCAGAUGGGCCCGCGUCCCAUCAGCUAGUUGGUAAGGUAAAGGCUUACCAAGGCGACGACGGGUAGCCGGUCUGAGAGGAUGUACGGCCACACUGGGACUGAGAUACGGCCCAGACUCCUACGGGAGGCAGCAGUUGGGAAUCUUAGGCAAUGGACGAAAGUCUGACCUAGCGACGCCGCGUGAGGGAAGAAGGCCUUCGGGUUGUAAAGCUCUGUCCUAUGGGAAGAAGGAGACGGUACCAUAGGAGGAAGCCCCGGCUAACUACGUG
rnacentral:rRNA from 1 species